rnacentral:lncRNA from 1 species
GCCAGGGUAUAUACCGUUUGUAUUUGCACUUAGAAGAUGUUUGUCACCAUCUUUGCAGAGACACCACUCUGCUUGAAUGUCCACCGUGUGCUGGUUGAUGUUCCUACCUCCAGUCGUGUGGUCAAAGGAAGGGCCGGUAUCUGGAGAAGGCGUUGGUCCCUUGUGCCUUAUCCAGUCAAUGCUGCUGGACGGCUCCUGGACCCACUCGCAGAAGUCAACAUCAAACGUGCAGGAGAAAUUGCAGGCUGCUGGACGGCUCCUGGACCCACUCGCAGAAGUCAACAUCAAACGUGCAGGAGAAAUUGCAGGCUGCUGGGGAAGCUGGGAUAUGGUGCAGAAAGGAAAGCAGAGUUUUAAAAGUGAGAGUGUGCAAACCUUUCCCCAGUGUCCCGCAGGGCACACCUAUAUCCCUGCCGCGAUUACGGCCAGGUGACGAUGGUCAACCAAAUGCAAUUCCACCCCGGGUAUUGCACAGCGUUCAUUGCUCAAGGCUUCUUCCUUUCUCCCUCAAUUUCAUCAGGGUCCCCCAGCCUUCUUCUCUCCACCUCUACUGGUGCUACCUUGCUGAGUCUCUCGGGAGGGAUGGGGCUCUCUCUUGGGCUCAAUAUCACCAAUGAUUUCCCACAACUUGAAAGCCUUUCUAACUGAUACUGCAAGAAGCACUUCAAGGCAGAGAGGCAGCAAGUCUGAAGUCUCUCUUGAUGUGCAGUGUGGUACCACGGCCCAGCCUCCCUCUGGAAAUGCUUGCCUUCAUAAAGGCAAAAAGCUACCGACACCACAGGCUGGGCCGUGCUGCUUCAGGUCUAAGGACAAGCAACGCCCUUAAGAAGACACUGUGCAGGACAACACAGGACAGUAAUGGAAAUUCCAAACUGUCAGUCUGCAAAAUGCGAUGCAAAACCAGCUGAUUCACAGCGGUAGUGGGUAGGAAAGAAAUCUCAAAUCUCAGAUACCAAAAAAGGGAAGCCGAGCAUUCAUUUGUGAAGUAGAAAUGCAAGAAAUUAUUAGUGAUAACUCCUGAAUAGAAACCAAGCCGAUGCCUCACCGCAGACCGUGCCAGCGCUCCAGUCUCCCAGAACAACCCCUGCCGCAGCACAGGCUUCAGCGUAGGAACUCAGGUCACUGCACAGCUGAUCCGUGCUGCCACCUGUGCCACACUGGUCAUAGACGCAGCUCUCAAAGUACUCCUGGGGUGGCAGAACUGCGUGGCAUGGCUCAAACGGGCCACCGGCUUGUGUGAGCAUUUCACACUUCUUGUGAGCUGCCUCCUCCUCUGACGGGGAGCAGGACACAGGCGGGACGAUGGUCGUGUCACAGCUGCAAAGCAGAGAGACAGCCCUGAGCUCUCAGCAGCCUGUGAACCUGAGCCACAACCUUUCUGCACUGGCAGAAACUUGAGUCUUUGUGGAAUCCACGUCCCUCCUGAAGACGAGGCACACGAAGCU